GACGAACGCUGGCGGCGUGCUUAACACAUGCAAGUCGAACGGUAAGGCUCCAGCUUGCUGGGGUACACGAGUGGCGAACGGGUGAGUAACACGUGGGUGACCUGCCCUGCACUUCGGGAUAAGCCUGGGAAACUGGGUCUAAUACCGGAUAGGACCGCACCGUGAGGGUGUGGUGGAAAGUUUUUUCGGUGUGGGAUGGGCCCGCGGCCUAUCAGCUUGUUGGUGGGGUAAUGGCCUACCAAGGCGGCGACGGGUAGCCGGCCUGAGAGGGUGGACGGCCACAUUGGGACUGAGACACGGCCCAGACUCCUACGGGAGGCAGCAGUGGGGAAUAUUGCACAAUGGGCGGAAGCCUGAUGCAGCGACGCCGCGUGGGGGAUGACGGCCUUCGGGUUGUAAACUCCUUUCACCAUAGACGAAGGGUUUCUGACGGUAGAUGGAGAAGAAGCACCGGCUAACUACGUG
rnacentral:rRNA from 1 species